rnacentral:tRNA from 1 species
GCGAGUGUCGUAUAGUGGCUAUUACACAUCCUUGCCAUGGAUGAGACGAGGGUUCGAUUCCCUUCACUCGCUCCA